GAUGAACGCUGGCGGUGUGUCUAAGGCAUGCAAGUCGAACGAUUCCUUCGGGAAGAGUGGCGAACGGGUGAGUGACACGUUGGAUACCUACCUCUAAGACAGGGAUAACUUCGAGAAAUCGGAGCUAAUACCUGAUAGUCUCCUUCGGGAGUAAAUGCUUUUGCGCUUAGAGAUGGUCCAGCGGCUGAUUAGCUUGUUGGUGGGGUAAAGGCCUACCAAGGCGACGAUCAGUAGCGGGUGUGAGAGCACGACCCGCCUCACGGGGACUGAGACACUGCCCUG
rnacentral:rRNA from 1 species